rnacentral:sRNA from 1 species
CUCUAGCCCCGAUUGAAGUGGAAAUCCUUUUGUGCCGGGGUUCGGCACAAAAGAUUACUUCACUUAAUUUUUAUUUUUAAUCGGAGUUCAGUGAACUUCGUUUGUAACGGAAAGCGGGACGAUGC